rnacentral:misc_RNA from 1 species
AAGAGACGUUGCCCUUCGGGGUAUACCUCCCACCCUUUGUUUAUUAUACCUUUGUUGCUUUGGCAGGCCCGUCCUCGGCCACCGGCUUCUGCUGGUCAGUGCCCGCCAGAGGACCUAAAACUCUGUUUGUUAAUAUUGUCUGAGUACUAUAUAAUAGUUA